rnacentral:rRNA from 1 species
AAAAACAUCGCCUCCUGCAAAACUCAACGUAUAGGAGGUCUUACCUGCCCAGUGACAAAAUGUUAAACGGCCGCGGUAUUUUGACCGUGCUAAGGUAGCGCAAUCACUUGUUUUUUAAAUGAAGACCUGUAUGAAUGGUGAAACGAGGGCUUAACUGUCUCCCCUUUCCAGUCAAUGAAACUGAUCUGUUCGUGCAGAAGCGAGCAUAAAUAUACAAGACGAGAAGACCCUUUGGAGCUUUAGACGAAAAUCAACUGUGCUUAAGUCCAAGUAAAAUGGAGUAAAAUAAAACAACAACUGAUCAAUAAGUCUUCGGUUGGGGCGACCCUGGGGAAAAAUAAAACCCCCAUGCGGACUGGGCUUACCCCUAAAACUAAGAGAGACAUCUCCAAGCCGCAGAAUAUCUGACCAUUAAGAUCCGGCCAAUUAGCCGAUCAACGAACCAAGUUACCCUAGGGAUAACAGCGCAAUCCCCUCCAAGAGUCCAUAUCGACAAGGGGGUUUACGACCUCGAUGUUGGAUCAGGACAUCCUAAUGGCGCAGCCACUAUUAAGGGUUCGUUUGUUCAACGAUUAAAGUCCUACGUGAUCUGAG